rnacentral:lncRNA from 1 species
CAGUUGUAUGACUGAUCUUUUGACCUACGGUGCUACAGCUGCUCGCAGUGAGAUUGCUGGAGUUUGACUGACAUAUAAACAUGAGUUGUAGUAGAUAUUGGCGACAGUUGGUCCACUGUAGGAGUAGUGUGUACAUCUACAUGGGAUCUAUCGAUUCUAGCAGAAGAGAGUAGUCCUAUGGAAUUUAUGAAGCUGAGUCU